CCCCAAGAGCUAACCACUCCGGGCUGGUUUGCGACCGGAAUAUAACUCGGUUCCGAUUUAGGCUUGUGCGGUCCUAGACUAAUCUGCAGGAUUUUAGUCUGCAGAGUUCCUUAUUAUUCAUUUUUGCUUAGACCAACACGAAGAAUCAUCGGCCACAAUGAAGAUGGCGGCAGCCGCUUUACCGUGGUAACGGGGAAGUCAUUUGCUAACAACCUUGGCCCUUACAUUUUAGUUCCUCCCUAUGAGGGAAGGGAAGUGCUUGGUCCCGCCCCAGCGGCGUGCCGAACCAGAACUCUGGGAAACUAUUGCAGUGAUGUGUGGAAUCCAGGGUUUAGCAAAACAAAGGUGGAUAUCACUUGUACCACACUAAAACUCCAACAGUGUGCUGCUGGGUGAACAGGGCUGGACAGAACAUGCAGAAAACCAGUGCUGAGAUUAUGCUGAAUGAA